rnacentral:sRNA from 1 species
UCUUAUUAUUAACAUCUAAUAGUUGCAUAUCAUUGUAUUACAGCAAUAAUUUUUAUUUAUUAAUAUACUUUUUCUUAGUAUUCUUUUAGAAGCGUUGAUCACCUCUUUCUACUUUUUUCUCUUUUAUUAAAAACUUCCCAAAGUUAGUAAAUUCUUUGCAUUAUAAAAGUAUAAAAAUUUACUUUUUAUAAUUUCUUAUGCUUUUUGAUUGGAAGAUUGUUAAACUUUAUUCUUCUUUUUUAUUAUUCCUAGAAUAAUAUUUUUAUUUAAUGAAUUAAUCAAA